rnacentral:lncRNA from 10 species
GGACAGCCCACCAGGGUCUGCUUCUGUGAGGGGCCGAGGCGUCAUUCCGCGAAGCCUUCUCCUUGCUGUUGCCAUGUGAAGAAGGAUGUGUUUGCUUCCCCUUCUGCCAUGAUUGUAAGUUUUCUGAAGCCUCUCCAGCCAUGCCAAACUAUCCAGUGGAUAAUCAACUAAGAGCUAGGCAUCCUUUUAGAUUUGAUAAGAAACAUUUUACAACCUACCCUCUCUCUGAAGUCUGCCAUCUGAGAGAUUCUUCUGAACAAUAAAACUGGUUCUCCACAAUCCUUUAUCUUAACCUGAACAUUCCUUUCUAUUGAUCCCAAGUCUUUAGACAAAUUCAACCAACUGUCCACCCGAAAAUGUUUAAAUUUACCUAUAGCCUGGAAGGCCCCACUUUGAGUUGUCUCACCUUUCUGAACCAAACCAAUGUAUUUCUUAAAUGUAUUUGAUUGAUGUUUUAUGCCUCUCUAAAAUAUAUAAAACCAAGCUGCACCCCGACCACCUUGGGCACAUGUUCUCAGGACCACCUG